rnacentral:tRNA from 1 species
AUGGUAGUGGUGUAGUGCUUUGAGCAUUGGACUAUGACUCCGGAGACCAGGGUUCGAAUCCCGGCUUGCCAUG